UCAGCAGCCCCGGGUAAUUCCAGCUCCAAAAGCGUAUAUUAAAGUUGUUGCAGUUAAAACGUCCGUAGUCGAACUUACGCCUUGUGGCUAUGCAGCUGGUCAUUCAUUUGGCUAGAUUUGUUUUAGCCCGGGUGAUAAAGUUUGGGUAUGAUCAUGUUGGCUUCGGUUGAUGUGGUUCUCUGCCCAAGCGUAUUACCAUGAGCAAAUCAGAAUGCUCAAAGUAGGCCUUCGUGCCUGAAUGUGUUAGCAUGGAAUAAUGAAAUAGGACCCUAGUCUUGUUUUGUUGGUAUACUUGACCUUGGGAAAUGAUGAAUAGGAACGGUUGGGGGCAUUUGUAUUUGGUCGCUAGAGGUGAAAUUCUUGGAUUGACCGAAGACAAACAACUGCGAAAGCAUUUGACCUAGGACGUUUCCAUUGAUCAGGGACUAAAGUUGAGGGAUCGAAGACGAUUAGAUACCGUCGUAGUCUUAACCACAAACUAUGCCGACUAGCGAUUGGAUCCUCGCCACUGGCAGGAUUCAGCAGCUUAGCGAAAGUAAAGUUUUUGGGUUCUGGGGGGAGUAUGGGACGCAAGGCUGAAACUUAAAGGAAUUGACGGAAGGGCACCACCAGGAGUGGAGCCUGCGGCUUAAUUUGAUCCAAACACGGGA
rnacentral:rRNA from 1 species